ACCAGAGCCUGGGAGCUGCCCCCGCCCCCGAGCCGCGAGCCCCGCGCCGGGCCGGGGAGUCCCCGGCGCCACACGCCCCCACCACCCCCAUCUUAGCGCCCCCCACCCUCUAUGGAGACAUUUCAACCAGGGAGAAGGGAAGUCCUGCCCUUGCCCCUCGCCCCCGCCCUGCUCCUCCAACAGGGGAGACUUCUGUCCAAACCUUGGAAAGAAACGAGAUGCCAGGCCUAGCGCCUUCGGGGAUCCUCUCUGGACAAGGCCACAGGGUGAAAACACCAGCACAGUCUGGACCUGGGCGGACUUUUUGGAAAAGCUUCUGGAUGCCACGGACUCCACGACCAACCAACUAGGUUGCUGCUGCUUGCAAACAUCGCCUCCAUUGAAGGAUUCCUGCAGCCACCAGCUCUGGAACUUUCUGGAACCAAACAUUUCCCCAGACUGCCUACAAGGACCAAUUGGCCUCUGGAUGUAGGUGUGGCCUGCAGGGGUCCGGCAGGGCUCCCCAGAGUCAAGUGGACCCAGCCCUUUGGACCCCCUGCCCGGUCCUAUUGACCUCUGCUCUCUCCCUGCAGCACUUCCUGGAGGCGUUUGACCGGGACCUGGGAGGGCAGCUGAGAAGUGCCUGACCAUUCUCAAGGAGCUGCGUGGAUUCCAGACAUCUCUGGGCUGGUCUCUGGACCGGGAUGGGGGACCCAGAGGUGGAGCCGAACACACAAGCAGCACUUGAGGGCUCCGAGGGUGGCAAGGAGAGAAGUUCCUGCUCUGGUACAGCCCUGGGACCUUGAAAGGUGCUUCAACAGAGCGUCCACUCCCAGCGCCUAGCUCUGGGACCUUGAAUGGUGCUUUAACAGAGCGUCUGCUCCCAGCGCCAAGCCCUCAGUGCAGAGGGGGAGACUCAGGCGGCCCUCAGACACAAUUCGCCAAGGUCGCACAGCAAGUCAGGGUGCCGCUAAGACUAGGACCUACAGCUCUGCCUCCUGGCCCAGGCUCCUCAGCACCUGGGCCCCAGAGGACAGCCUGUGGGAGGCCCACAUGGCCACUGCACCAUGAACCAAGGACCUGGUCCGGGUCCACCUCCACCAAGUGCUGGCCGUGUGUCACUGGGGUCACUCCACUCUCUGCAUUAGGUCUCAGUCAUCCAAGACCAUCUUUCAAGGGCCGUCACUCCAAUUAUGAGUCUGGGAUUUUCUGAAAUUGAGCAUUUUGGCCAGGCUGUGGGGUCCCUCUAUGACUGCCUGUAAGACACUGCCAAGGGGACUUUCUUCCUUUCACCAGACUGAAGCUAAGAAGUGCUGGAGACAGCAGUUGCUUUAGCCACAGGCUGUGUAGACCACCUGAGGAUGACCUGGGGGUCUGUUUUGUGCACCUUGGAACCCAUCGGAUCCCUCCAAUGACACAUUUGUCCAGAGCAAGACAAGAUCACACUUUGACAGCCCUCUGUCAAGAUCCUUGCUCCAAAUCUCCAGACUAGCAGCCAGGAGUCUCCAUGCUGUUCUGAAGAAGCAGAUUCCUCACCCACCCUUCAACUCCUUCCCAGGAGGUAAUCCUCCUCCAAAUCUCUGGAAAAGAUACACCUCCUCUUCUCUGAUAAAGGCUGGGGGGUGAUGCCCCUCCCCCAGUUUCCCAAUAAAGCUAUGCAAGACAGGA
rnacentral:lncRNA from 1 species